UGCCGCGUGCAGGAUGAAGGCCUUCGGGUUGUAAACUGCUUUUGUACGGAACGAAACGGUGAGCUCUAAUACAGUUUGCUAAUGACGGUACCGUAAGAAUAAGCACCGGCUAACUACGUGCCAGCAGCCGCGGUAAUACGUAGGGUGCGAGCGUUAAUCGGAAUUACUGGGCGUAAAGCGUGCGCAGGCGGUGAUGUAAGACAGAUGUGAAAUGCCCGGGCUCAACCUGGGACCUGCAUUUGUGACUGCAUCGCUAGAGUACGGUAGAGGGGGAUGGAAUUCCGCGUGUAGCAGUGAAAUGCGUAGAUAUGCGGAGGAACACCGAUGGCGAAGGCAAUCCCCUGGACCUGUACUGACGCUCAUGCACGAAAGCGUGGGGAGCAAACAGGAUUAGAUACCCUGGUAGUCCACGCCCUAAACGAUGUCAACUGGUUGUUGGGUCUUCACUGACUCAGUAACGAAGCUA
rnacentral:rRNA from 1 species